rnacentral:rRNA from 1 species
GCGGACGGGUGAGUAACGCGUGGGUAACCUGCCCCGUACAGGGGGACAACAGUUGGAAACGACUGCUAAUACCGCAUAAGCGCACGAUACUGCAUGGUAUUGUGUGAAAAACUGAGGUGGUACGAGAUGGACCCGCGUCUGAUUAGCUGGUUGGUGGGGUAACGGCCUACCAAGGCGACGAUCAGUAGCCGACCUGAGAGGGUGACCGGCCACAUUGGGACUGAGACACGGCCCAAACUCCUACGGGAGGCAGCAGUGGGGAAUAUUGCACAAUGGGGGAAACCCUGAUGCAGCGACGCCGCGUGAAGGAAGAAGUAUUUCGGUAUGUAAACUUCUAUCAGCAGGGAAGAAAAUGACGGUACCUGAGUAAGAAGCCCCGGCUAACUACGUGCCAGCAGCCGCGGUAAUACGUAGGGGGCAAGCGUUAUCCGGAUUUACUGGGUGUAAAGGGAGCGUAGACGGUAAUGUAAGUCUGAUGUGAAAGCCCGGGGCUCAACCCCGGGACUGCAUUGGAAACUAUGUAACUAGAGUACCGGAGAGGUAAGCGGAAUUCCUAGUGUAGCGGUGAAAUGCGUAGAUAUUAGGAGGAACACCAGUGGCGAAGGCGGCUUACUGGACGGAAACUGACGUUGAGGCUCGAAAGCGUGGGGAGC